AUUGAACGCUGGCGGCAGGCCUAACACAUGCAAGUCGAACGAGUGGCGGACGGGUGCGUAAUGUCUGGGAAACUGCCUGAUGGAGGGGGAUAACUACUGGCCACGGUAGCUAAUAACGCAUACCAUCGGAUGUGCCCAGAUGGGAUUAGCUAGUAGGUGGGGUAACGGCUCACCUAGGCGACGAUCCCUAGCUGGCCUGCGAGGAUGACCAGCCACACUGUACCUGAGACACGGUCCAGACUCCUACGGGAGGCAGCAGUGGGGAAGAUUGCACAAUGGGCGCAAGCCUGAUGCAGCCAUGCCGCGUGUAUGAAGAAGGCCGUCGGGUUGUAAAGUACUUUCAGCGGGGAGGCGUUACCCGCAGAAGAAGCACCGGCUAACUCCGUGCCAGCAGCCGCGGUAAUAC
rnacentral:rRNA from 1 species